rnacentral:ncRNA from 1 species
AUAUUGGCUGUGAAGAGGAAUAGUAUAUACAGGACGAGCCACAGAGAGAGAAUUGAUUGGUGAAAGAUUCUUGCAAGAAGUGUAUGGAACCUACCUUGGAGCCACUGUGUGAAAAUGCAGCGUGACAUCAGCGUUAAUGAUGACUAAAGAGAAUUGUAGAGGAAUCUAUGAUUAAUUAGGGUGGUACCGCCGAGUCUUUCGGUCCCUUUU